GAAACAGUAUCCCAGAAUGGCAGUCGACCAUGGGGGGAAAAUCAUCUGGAGGGGCAAAAAGGAAGUUCUGUUGAGGAAGCCUAAGCCAGCCUUGUGGAGAGGCCACUCCGUGGAGGAGAACUGAAGAACCCAGACAAAAUCCAGAAUCAAGGCCCAUGACUCCAUGAAGCCAUCCCAAGUGAAGCUUCAGACAUCCUGGAGCACAGAUGUGCAUCCUGCCCAAAUCCCCAACCUACUCUAUUAGAGGCUAGGAACCACUUUUCCAGACCAACUCUGAAUUCCUGCAUGGGACAUUAAAAUGAUGAACAAGGCGAGAUUUCUAACCAGAUUGUGAGAGCUAUAAAAGUCAUCUUCUGUGACAGCAGACACAGUGAGAAGGAAGCCACCUGCAAGCCAGGAGGAAAGCUCUCACAAGACCUCAUCCAUACUGGCGCCCUGAUC